rnacentral:rRNA from 1 species
GUGGGGAAUAUUGGGCAAUGGGCGCAAGCCUGACCCAGCAACGCCGCGUGAAGGAAGAAGGCUUUCGGGUUGUAAACUUCUUUUAAGAGGGAAGAGCAGAAGACGGUACCUCUUGAAUAAGCCACGGCUAACUACGUGCCAGCAGCCGCGGUAAUACGUAGGUGGCAAGCGUUGUCCGGAUUUACUGGGUGUAAAGGGCGUGCAGCCGGGCAUGCAAGUCAGAUGUGAAAUCCUGCGGCUCAACCGCAGAACUGCAUUUGAAACUGUAUGUCUUGAGUACUGGAGAGGCAGGCGGAAUUCCUAGUGUAGCGGUGAAAUGCGUAGAUAUUAGGAGGAACACCAGUGGCGAAGGCGGCCUGCUGGACUGUAACUGACGUUGAGGCUCGAAAGCGUGGGGAGCAAACAGG